CCUACGGGAGGCAGCAGUGGGGAAUAUUGCACAAUGGGGGGAACCCUGAUGCAGCAAUGCCGCGUGAGUGAAGAAGCACUCCGGUGUGUAAAGCCCUGUCACCAGGGAAGAAAAUGACAGUACCCGGACAAGAAACCCCGCCUAACGACGUGCCACCAGCACCGGUAAUACGCAGGGGGCAAGCGUUAUCCGGAUUUACUGGGUGUAAAGGGAGCGCAGGCGGGGUGACAAGUCAGAGGUGAAAGCUCGGGGCCCAACCCCGGGAGUGCAUUUGAAACUGCCAUGCUGGAGUGCCGGAGAGGUAAGCGGAAUUCCUAGUGUAGCGGUGAAAUGCGUAGAUAUUAGGAGGAACACCAGUGGCGGAGGCGGCUUACUGGACGGUAACUGACGGUGAGGCUCGAAAGCGUGGGGAGCAAACAGGAUUAGAUACCCUGGUAGUC
rnacentral:rRNA from 1 species